rnacentral:lncRNA from 1 species
AAGAAUUAGACAAGCACUGAAUAAAAUUAAUCACCGCAUUCAACGCAGCGAUCUUCACAUCAGAAUUACUGGAAGAAGUCAAGCACUGAAGGAACACGCCGUGGAGAUGCUUGAGAUGCGGGAUUAGGGUUUCCCCUAUGAAACUGCGACAAACUGAGCAAAGAUCAAAAAGGCAGAUUCCUGCAACUUAGGAGAAUCCGAGGAAACGCACUGGAAAAUAAACGGAAGCAAACUCAGGCCAGCCGUUAUCGGGAAUAAUCCCCGAGGCAAGCUCAGAGAUAGUAUCGCAAAUCUUCUUAGAUAUAGACUUCGUGUCUUCUCUCUGGAUGCAGGUAAGCAUGGAUGACUUGAGGCUAGACUGAGUAGCGGGGGAGAGUCGGGGCCAGAGAUACGAGUCAUCGCGGGUGAGAAGCUUCCGAAGGAGAACAGCGGCCAUGGCACGAGCCUCCGGAUGAGGAGAUAACUGGAGAAGAUGAGCGAGCUUAAUGGAGAGUGAAUCGGGAUCGGUCUGCUUGCAUAGGUUGAAGAGAAGCUCCGCGCUGGAACGCGUCUCGUUGGAAGAAGACAUGAGGUGGGAGAUUAGGGUUUCGAAAGGAGCGAGGUCGGGACCGAGGAUGAUAGCCAAUUGGGCUUGCUGCAUCUGAGUUGACUCGGCGUCCAUGGCGGCGGCGAGUUAGGGUUUUCCGGGGAUGUAUGUGGUGGCUCUCUCUCUCUGUGUGUGUGUGUGUGUGGGGGGGAGAGUGUCGGUCUGGAGAGAGAAAGUGUUGUUUGGGAGAACGCGAGAGAGAGAGAGCGAGGGAAAGGGUUUUGGGGAUUUUUAUUGAAG